UGGGGAAUAUUGGGCAAUGGGCGCAAGCCUGACCCAGCAACGCCGCGUGAAGGAAGAAGGCUUUCGGGUUGUAAACUUCUUUUCUGAGGGACGAAUAGAUGACGGUACCUCAGGAAUAAGCCACGGCUAACUACGUGCCAGCAGCCGCGGUAAUACGUAGGUGGCAAGCGUUAUCCGGAUUUACUGGGUGUAAAGGGCGUGUAGGCGGGGAAAGCAAGUCAGAUGUGAAAACCACGGGCUCAACCUGUGGCCUGCAUUUGAAACUGUUUUUCUUGAGUACUGGAGAGGCAGACGGAAUUCCUAGUGUAGCGGUGAAAUGCGUAGAUAUUAGGAGGAACACCAGUGGCGAAGGCGGUCUGCUGGACAGCAACUGACGCUGAGGCGCGAAAGCGUGGGGAGCAAACAGGAUUAGAUACCC
rnacentral:rRNA from 1 species